GACGAACCGUGCGAACGUUGUUCGGAUUCACUGGGCUUAAAGGGCGCGUAGGCGGGCAAGCAAGUCCGGGGUGAAAUCUUUCGGCUUAACCGGAAAAGUGCCUUGGAUACUGCUUGUCUAGAGGGAGAUAGGGGUUGCGGGAACUUCCGGUGGAGCGGUGAAAUGCGUUGAUAUCGGAAGGAACGCCGGUGGCGAAAGCGCGCAACUGGACCUCUUCUGACGCUGAGGCGCGGAAAGCGUGGGGAGCAAACAGG
rnacentral:rRNA from 1 species